AUGACCCUUGAUGCUCUUUGCAUAUUUCCCAUGAUAACAUCAAUGUUCGUCAUGCUUCCCUUUGAGGUAUGUGUUCAAUUCUUCUUAUCUAAAUGUAUGUUUGUUCUUGGGCUACAAAAUUUGAGAUGCCAUUUAUUGCAUCCUUCAACUAUUUUUCCUGCUGAACCUGCCGGCUCGACCCAGGAGCGGCAGGUGCAGAUGCGUGUGCGAGGAGCAUCGUCGAUCGACCGGCGUUCUUUCUUCGUCAGGAAGGGUGCAGCCUGCUACUCAAGCCCCUCUCCUUCGCUCCUUGCAGAGCAGGAGAGGCAUGGGCACCACCACACUUGA
rnacentral:rRNA from 1 species